rnacentral:lncRNA from 1 species
AUGAGCAGGUGGCUCCAUGCUUCAAAGGCCCUGGAUUCCUGGGAUAUGAUGCCACCUUUCCUGAAGUCUGGGCUCCUUACCUUCUCUCUGCUCUGGGCAUACCAUUCCCAAAGGACAGUGGCAUGGAGGCUGCACCCUGGAGCUCAUGGUUUUCCAGUGGCACCACCUGUGGGAUCAGCUCCCAGACGUGCCAGGAGUGUUUGGGACAGAACCACCAAGAAGGUUCAGACGCGCUCUGCUGCCAGCAUCGCCAUCCUCAUGUUCCAUCGUGGUCGGGUUUAUUGUCAUUUGAGGUGUGGAUCUAGCUUAGCCUACAUGCAGCAUCCUUUUCUGUUGCGCUGAAUCCCCCACCUCUUUUUCUGCCGUCAUUUUAUUCCAUCCUAAGACCUUAGUGGUGACUUCCGUGUUUGCUGAACUGAGCUGUUCCUCCCCAGUCACCUCGGUUCCAAGACUCCUGUCUGUGGGUCUGUGUUCGCUCUACAUUCAAAAACGUUCUGCUGGAAAAUGAGCUGUGCUCCUCAGAGUUCAACUAGACAGGCCUCAAAAGCUGCGAUUCUGAGUAGGACCUACUGGAGCCCCAGGUUUAUGGUAUAGUCAGGUGAAGUAAAGCAGCUCACAUGAAAUAAGCAGCUACACCACAUCUGGGAACAUUUUCAGGGUUUUUUGGUUAUAUUUUAUAAAUACCUACCAUGCUCGCUGAAAAUGCCCUAAGUUCAGCUGCAGUAUAAACAAAACUGGGAGAUUGCUUUCUCUGUGUUUUUCAGUUUAUCUUGAUGACAUUUAAGCUCAGGCUUGGAUUUAACUGUUGAUUCCUCCAUAUAAAAUUGGAACAUUUAGUUUCAACUUCCUAGUGUUUCAGUUGCAAUCUUCAAUUCUUUAUGUUUAAAGCGUUAUCGUGGUUUAUGGUUAUUGUUCCCCUUGUUUUUAAGGUUCUUAUUCUGCUAUAUUGGUUUAUACUUCUCUUUGUUCUGAUUAAUGAAAGAGCAAAUCGCCUCCAGUGAUCUUUUAAUUAAGUUGUAUUAACGCUGUAUCCAGUAAUAUCACUUCCUCCAAUGAUCUUUUAAUUAAGUUGUAUUAACGCUGUAUCCAGUAAUAUCACUUCAAAGGGCACUUUGCUGGGGAAGCCUCUUACAAAAAUACUGCAACCAUAUUUGACAUUUGACUAAUAUUCCAAAGUUCAGGAACUGCAGCAUAUAUAUUCUAAAUAAAGCAAAGUGACUCAGGCCUUUCUUUCUUCA